CCUACGGGUGACAGCAGUGAGGAAUAUUGGUCAAUGGGCGGGAGCCUGAACCAGCCAAGUAGCGUGAGGGAAGACGGUCCUAUGGAUUGUAAACCUCUUUAGUCGGGGAGUAAUGCCGGGCACGCGUGCCCGGAGGGAGAGUACCCGUAGAAUAAGCAUCGGUUACUUCCGUGCAAGCAGCCGCGGUAAUACGGAGGAUGCGAGGUUUACCCGGAUUUCUGGGGUUUAAGGGGUGCGUAGGCGGAUUUUUAAGUCAGCGGUAAAAUGUGCGGGCUAAACCUGAGCCGGCCGUUGAAACUGGGGGUCUUGAGUGGGCGAGAAGUAUGCGGAAUGCGUGGUGUAGCGGUGAAAUGCAUAGAUAUCACGCAGAACUCCGAUUGCGAAGGCAGCAUACCGGCGCCCGACUGACGCUGAUGCACGAAAGCGUGGGGAUCGAACAGGAUUAGAUACCCGUGUAGUC
rnacentral:rRNA from 1 species